AAUGGGCGACAGCCUGAACCAGCCAUCCCGCGUGAAGGAAGAAGGCGCUAUGCGUUGUAAACUUCUUUUCCAGAGGAAUAAAAUUAUGUACGAGUACGGAACUGAAGGUACUCUGGGAAUAAGCAUCGGAUAACUCCGUGCCAGCAGCCGCGGUAAUACGGAGGAUGCGAGCGUUAUCCGGAUUCAUUGGGUUUAAAGGGUGCGUAGGCGGACUUAUAAGUCAGUGGUGAAAACCUUCAGCUUAACUGGAGAACUGCCAUUGAUACUGUUAGUCUUGAGUACGGUCAAUGUAGGCGGAAUGUGUAAUGUAGCGGUGAAAUGCUUAGAUAUUACACAGAACACCGAUUGCGAAGGCAGCUUACUGGGCCAUUACUGACGCUGAUGCACGAAAGCGUGGGGAGCGAA
rnacentral:rRNA from 1 species